rnacentral:rRNA from 1 species
GACGAACGCUGGCGGCGUGCUUAACACAUGCAAGUCGAACGGAAAGGCCCUGCUUUUGUGGGGUGCUCGAGUGGCGAACGGGUGAGUAACACGUGAGUAACCUGCCCUUGACUUUGGGAUAACUUCAGGAAACUGGGGCUAAUACCGGAUAGGAGCUCCUGCUGCAUGGUGGGGGUUGGAAAGUUUCGGCGGUUGGGGAUGGACUCGCGGCUUAUCAGCUUGUUGGUGGGGUAGUGGCUUACCAAGGCUUUGACGGGUAGCCGGCCUGAGAGGGUGACCGGCCACAUGGGGACUGAGAUACGGCCCAGACUCCUACGGGAGGAAGCAGUGGGGAAUAUUGCACAAUGGGCGGAAGCCGGAUGCAGAAACGCCGCGUGCGGGAGGCCGGCCUUCGGGUUGUAAACCGCUUUCGCUUGUGACGAAGCGUGAGUGACGGUAAUGGGUAAAGAAGCACCGGCUAACUACGU